AAAACUAAUGAUUUUACUAACAUGAUACACAUAAUACAUUGUAAUUUCGAAUUUUCGAAAGAAAUAUCACUUUAUGCGCAUUAUUUAUUAAUGAAAUAAAAGAUGCUGGGAUGUUUAGUAUCCAAUGUGAUGAAGCUCGAUGCCACCACGAAGAACAACUGGUAAUAUGUAUUCGGUAUCCAAAAAACUUGAGCGUAUGUGAACGAUUUGUUGAAUUUGUAAACGUUUCUAAAAAACAAGAUGCAGAUGCUUUAGUUAAAGUUUUACUUAAUUUUAUCCAUAAAUCAAAUUUGAGUGAAAUUCCUAUAAUAGGAGUCCUAUGACGGUGCUGCUGUUAUGUCGGGUUCAGAGGGUGGGGUUCAAAGUAAACUGAGGCAAAACCAUCCACCAGCAUCAAAAGCUAUAUAUAUCCAUUGUAUGGCACAUAAGUUGAACCUUGUAAUAGUUGAUAUGUGCAAAAAUUUAAAGGAUGCUAGAAGUUUGUUUAAUGGAUUACAGGCUCUGUAUGUUCAUUUUUCCUAUCCAACUACUUAUAGUUAUUAGUUAUACUUAUUAGUUGUUGAAAUAGCAAUUACAUUGCCCGUAAGUUCGUCCACUUCUGAGAGGUCAUUUUCAACAAUGCGAAGAAUAAACACCUACUUAAGAUCUACUAUGUCCCAAAAUCGGUUCAGCAAUUUGGGUAUUCUUAAUAUUGAGAAAGAUAUUGUUGUUGACGUGGAAGAGAUUCUAAAUAAUUUUAGUAAAACCUAAAGGAGAAUUAAGUUAUUGUAAUUAGGUUUACUAUAAGAAUAAUAAAAAAAAACUGAUGUUAAAAAAUAAUAAUAAUGUUGUUAAUAUAGUUUUUAUAUUAUUAUGUGGAUUUGAUUUUUGAUG